rnacentral:rRNA from 1 species
AUGAACGCUGGCGGCGUGCCUCAUCCCUGCAAGUCGAGCGAACAGAUGAGGAGCUUGCUCCUCUGACGUUAGCGGCGGACGGGUGAGUAACACGUGGAUAACCUACCUAUAAGACUGGGAUAACUUCGGGAAACCGGAGCUAAUACCGGAUAAUAUAUUGAACCGCAUGGUUCAAUAGUGAAAGACGGUUUUGCUGUCACUUAUAGAUGGAUCCGCGCCGCAUUAGCUAGUUGGUAAGGUAACGGCUUACCAAGGCAACGAUGCGUAGCCGACCUGAGAGGGUGAUCGGCCACACUGGAACUGAGACACGGUCCAGACUCCUACGGGAGGCAGCAGUAGGGAAUCUUCCGCAAUGGGCGAAAGCCUGACGGAGCAACGCCGCGUGAGUGAUGAAGGUCUUCGGAUCGUAAAACUCUGUUAUUAGGGAAGAACAAAUGUGUAAGUAACUAUGCACGUCUUGACGGUACCUAAUCAGAAAGCCACGGCUAACUACGUG